rnacentral:rRNA from 1 species
AACGAACGCUGGCGGCAUGCCUAACACAUGCAAGUCGAACGAGACCUUCGGGUCUAGUGGCGCACGAGUGCGUAACGCGUGGGAAUCUGCCCUUGGGUUCGGAAUAACUUCGGGAAACUGAAGCUAAUACCGGAUGAUGACGUAAGUCCAAAGAUUUAUCGCCCAAGGAUGAGCCCGCGUAGGAUUAGCUAGUUGGUGAGGUAAAGGCUCACCAAGGCGACGAUCCUUAGCUGGUCUGAGAGGAUGAUCAGCCACACUGGGACUGAGACACGGCCCAGACUCCUACGGGAGGCAGCAGUGGGGAAUAUUGGACAAUGGGCGAAAGCCUGAUCCAGCAAUGCCGCGUGAGUGAUGAAGGCCUUAGGGUUGUAAGCUCUUUACCCGGGAUGAUAAUGACAGUACCGGGAGAAUAAGCUCCGGCUAACUCCGUGCCAGCAGCCGCGGUAAAGUGACUACUG